rnacentral:rRNA from 1 species
AUUGAACGCUGGCGGCAGGCCUAACACAUGCAAGUCGAGCGAGCGGCGGACGGGUGAGUAAUGUCUGGGAAACUGUCUGCUGGAGGGGGAUAACUACUGGAAACGGUAGCGAAAACCGCACACAAUAAGAUGUGACCAGAUGGGAUUAGCUAGUAGUGUGGGUAACGGCUCACCUAGGCGACGAUCCCUAGCUGGUCUGAGAGGAUGACCAGCCACACUGGAACUGAGACACGGUCCAGACUCCUACGGGAGGCAGCAGUGGGGAAUAUUGCACAAUGGGCGCAAGCCUGAUGCAGCCAUGCCGCGUGUGUGAAGAAGGCCUUCGGGUUGUAAAGCACUUUCAGCGGGGAGGCGUUACCCGCAGAAGAAGCACCGGCUAACUCCGUGCCAGCCGCCGCGGUAAUUC